rnacentral:rRNA from 1 species
GUAGGUGGCAAGCGUUGUCCGGAAUUAUUGGGCGUAAAGCGCGCGCAGGCGGUUCUUUAAGUCUGAUGUGAAAGCCCACGGCUCAACCGUGGAGGGUCAUUGGAAACUGGAGAACUUGAGUACAGAAGAGGAAAGCGGAAUUCCGCGUGUAGCGGUGAAAUGCGUAGAGAUGUGGAGGAACACCAGUGGCGAAGGCGGCUUUCUGGUCUGUAACUGACGCUGAGGCGCGAAAGCGUGGGGAGCAAACAGGAUUAGAUACCCUGGUAGUCCACGCCGUAAACGAUGAGUGCUAAGUGUUAGGGGGUUCCCGCCCCCCUUAGUGCUGCAGCUAACGCAUUAAGCACUCCGCCUGGGAUACGGCCGCAAGGCUG